GCUCGGCAGGGCGGCGGCGACGGCGGUGGCUGCGGAGCUGCAGUUAGCGCUGCGCGCGUGAGGUGGCGGGGCGGCAGCCGCGCAUCCCGGCCCUGUGGCGUGUUGGGCGUGGGGGAGCGUCCUUACACGUUCCAGGGUGGCUUUUCCCCCACGUCCUCGCUCGGUUUCUGGAAAGGGGGAGGAAACGCUGCAGCUUCUACAGUACUUUUGCUUAAGACAAAGCCAGGGAUCAGGAAUCUCAAAAGAGCGGGGGGCAGAAGGUUUGAGCCGACCCCACCCCGGCUCUCCAUCGGAGCCCCGAGCGGCGCCGUUUCCUGAUGCUGGCUGUGCGUAGAGGCGGCCUUCCUGGGGGGAGGGGAGAACAAUGCUUCCUGAAAAGCCAAAAGUCGUGGAAUUUGGGGGCGGGGCUCGGGCCAAUUAAAGUGUAUUCGUGGAAAAUAAAUCGCAAGAUAGUGGCAGUGACGAACUGCACACUGCAGCGCGAAAGCAGGAAACUGGCAUUACGUCAGAAGACAGAAGAGACCCAAAUUGCAACGGUUGCAUCUGCAGGGCUGGCUGGCUGGCUUCCUCUCCUAAACCUAAACCUUUCCCUCUC
rnacentral:lncRNA from 1 species